AUCUUUAUUGUGUUUUAACAUGUUGUCUUUUGUCAUGUGUUAUUAGGCAUGUUCAACUUCAUGAAGCGCUGCGAGAACCCACAUCAUAUGUUGAUGACGUAAACGUAUCUCGAGACUGAGUCAAGAAAUUACACGUAGAGGUCUAAUUUCGAACCGCUCUCGCGGUACAUUGACGUCAUCAUCAUGUCAGCGCCGCAUGAGGUCGAACACACCUAUUAUUUGCGGGCACGCGCCUCCGUCCUCGUGAGUUCAAAAACUGAAUUUAACCGAUGUUUACCUCAGACGACAGUUUUCGUUUCUGUGAUAAAUUCUGAGCUAAUUUUCUUGUUGUGUUUGAUCUUUUCCAUUGGCUGAAGAAUGCUGUGACAAAAAAGCAACCAGGACACCACAUCUGCAGUGACAGAGAGCAGGAUGGGGGAGGAAUCAGAAGGACCAGAAGAUAAUAUCAACUGGUGCCCCUGAGGAGAUUCACAUUGUUCCGUUUCUUUUGUUUUGUAAUAAGUGGUUUUAUGUGAUUUUGUAAAAUAAAAGAAAUUCAUUAUUCAAUCCACAUGUUUUGCACAUAAUUUUCUAUAUUUUACUUCCGUGUAUUUACAGCCAGGGUGCCUACUGUAUUUAUUGCCCAAUGUGCCCACACGUUGCCCACAGUUAGCCCAAACUUUGCCCAGUGUGCCCACAUUAAAUCCACACUUUGUCCACAGUAAGCCCACACUUUGCCCAGUGUACCCACAGUUAGCCCACACUUUGCCCAAUGUGCCCACAGUAAGCCCACACUUUACCCAAUGUGCCCACAGUAAGCCCACACUUUGCCCACAGUUAGCCCACGCUUUGCCCAAUGUGCCCACAGUAAGCCCACACCCAGCCCACACUUUGGGUUGU